UACGGGGGGAGCAAGCGUUGUUCGGAUUUACUGGGCGUAAAGGGCGCGUAGGCGGCCUCCGCAAGUCAGUUGUGAAAUCUCCGAGCUUAACUCGGAAAGGUCAACUGAUACUGCGGGGCUAGAGUGCGGAAGGGGCAACUGGAAUUCUUGGUGUAGCGGUGAAAUGCGUAGAUAUCAAGAGGAACACCUGCGGCGAAGGCGGGUUGCUGGGCUGACACUGACGCUGAGGCGCGAAAGCUAGGGGAGCAAACAGG
rnacentral:rRNA from 1 species